CGGAGGGUGCGAGCGUUGUCCGGAUUUAUUGGGUUUAAAGGGUGCGUAGGCGGCUCCUUAAGUCCGGGUGAAAGCCCGUUGCUCAACAACGGAACUGCCCUGGAUACUGAGGAGCUUGAGUACAGACGAGGUUGGCGGAAUGGACGGAGUAGCGGUGAAAUGCAUAGAUACCGUCCAGAACCCCGAUUGCGAAGGCAGCUGACUAGGCUGUUACUGACGCUGAGGCACGACAGCGUGGGGAGCGAACAGGAUU
rnacentral:rRNA from 1 species